GACGGAGGGUGCUAGCGUUGUUCGGAAUUACUGGGCGUAAAGGGCGCGUAGGCGGCCUGGUCAGUCGGGUGUGAAAGCCCGGGGCUCAACCCCGGAACGGCACCCGAGACGGCCAGGCUGGAGACCGGGAGAGGAGGGUGGAAUAGCCAGUGUAGAGGUGAAAUUCGUAGAUAUUAGGAAGAACACCGGUGGCGAAGGCGGCCCACUGGCUCGAUACUGACGCUGAGGUGCGAAAGCGUGGGGAGCAAACAGG
rnacentral:rRNA from 1 species